rnacentral:lncRNA from 1 species
CGGGCAGUGAGGCUGGACUCCAAGACAGAGACUACAGGUUGUCAAACCAAUAACUUCCUUUUAUUAUUAAUAUGAGAGAGAGCUCUUUACAAAUUGUUUGGAAUUUUAUAAUGGAAUUCCCGACAUUUUAUUUCCAUACAUUGAAGGUGAGAAGCAUUCUAGAGAUUCAGGUGUGUUGGCUACGACAAAUUAUAGAGUUCAUCAGGAAACGGAAAAUUCUUGAUGGGUCUUCAUCAAGAGGACAAUUUGGAGUACUCCAUGGGAGAAAAAAUUGGAUGCUGGAAAAAUCGUGAUGUCCCCUAGGCGACAGGUCACAAUCACCAAUAUCCAGUUCUGAUGACAGUCGGAGACGGAGGCAGCGAAGAGCAAAUACCUAAAAAGGUCUUGAAGGAAAACUUUUUCAUCUUUCCUUGAGUUCCACUUUUAGCCUCUCUGCUGAGACACUUCCCAUGAUAGACUUUAUAGUAUCUCUAAUAACUUGACCCUUCACCUCAGUUGGCGACAAGGAGAGCGAAGUUAAGACAAUUGUUCGAAACUGACACUUGUGUUACUACUUGUCUU